ACUAAGGUCGGCAAUCAUGGAAAUUACAUAGCAUUCAAGCUCAAGUUCGUGAUUUCUUCGUCUGUGUCUCUUUGUCUCUCUCAAUCUAAGCUCGGUGUUCUCUUUGUGACUUCGUCUCUCUCGAUCACGGUGUGUUUUCUUCGUCUUUCAAUCGCAUUGAUAAGAAUUGUUUGAUUACAGCAUCUUCUAUACCUGUACCCUUUUGAGGAAGUGCUAGUAACCUAAGACAAGUCAAACAAGCAGUAGCAUUUGAGGUGAUCAUUGACACUCUUUGCCUUACAAUAUUGGGUAAACUAUGAGAUGGCUUAAACUCUUGACGAGAAGAUUUUAAUUGCCAAUGUUGGUGACUCAAAGGCCCUUUUAUGCACAAAGAAAAUCCAGUCUGGUCAGGGUAGAGAUGAUGAAAGAGCUCGAAUUCAAGUAGCUGGUGGUGACCAUGGUGGAUGGAUUAAUGUCAUGGUGCAGGUCAUGGUGAAUGGACUUCUCUUCCAAUUAUCUUUUCCACUGAAUUAUCUUGGCAGUGUUUAUCGUGAGACCAUAUAGAGUCUUGUUGAUAUGAAGUCCAUGUUUCAGUUGCUGGAGUUCUUAAUGCAAGGGAAAUUGGUGGCUAUGCAUCAUUCUUUGAGAAGUACCACGAGAAGGCAAAAUCCUUUAUUUGAGACCCUUUAAACAUUAGUACGUCAAGUUGUUUUGCAUUGAAAUAGAAUAAUAUUAAGGUUAGAAUUUUGAU